rnacentral:rRNA from 1 species
AGGAAGGAGGGGACGACGCUGGUCAGCAUGGCCCUUACGGCCUGGGCGACCCACGUGCUACAAUGCCCACUACAAAGCGAUGCCACCCGGGCAACGGGGGAGCUAAUCGCAAAAAGGUGGGCCCAGUUCGGAUUGGGGUCUGCAACCCGACCCCAUGAAGCCGGAAUCGCUAGUAAUCGCGGAUCAGCCAUGCCCGCGGUCCGAAUACGUUCCGGGCCUU